rnacentral:rRNA from 1 species
UACGUAGGGGCCUAGCGUUGUCCGGAUUUAUUGGGCGUAAAGAGCUCGUAGGCGGUUCGGUAAGUCAGGUGUGAAAUCUCCACGCUCAACGUGGAGGCGCCACCUGAAACUGCCGUGACUCGAGUCCGGUAGGGGAGUGUGGAAUUCCCGGUGUAGCGGUGAAAUGCGCAGAUAUCAGGAGGAACACCAAUGGCGAAGGCAGCUCGCUGGGACGGUACUGACACUGAGACGCGAAAGCGUGGGGAGCAAACAGG